rnacentral:rRNA from 1 species
GAUGAACGCUGGCGGCGUGCCUAAUACAUGCAAGUCGAGCGAAUGGAUUGAGAGCUUGCUCUUAUGAAGCUAGCGGCGGACGGGUGAGUAACACGUGGGUAACCUGCCCAUAAGACUGGGAUAACUCCGGGAAACCGGGGCUAAUACCGGAUAACAUUUUGAACCGCAUGGUUCGAAAUUGAAAGGCGGCUUCGGCUGUCACUUAUGGAUGGACCCGCGUCGCAUUAGCUAGUUGGUGAGGUAACGGCUCACCAAGGCAACGAUGCGUAGCCGACCUGAGAGGGUGAUCGGCCACACUGGGACUGAGACACGGCCCAGACUCCUACGGGAGGUAGCAGUAGGGAAUCUUCCGCAAUGGACGAAAGUCUGACGGAGCAACGCCGCGUGAGUGAUGAAGGCUUUCGGGUCGUAAAACUCUGUUGUUAGGGAAGAACAAGUGCUAGUUGAAUAAGCUGGCACCUUGACGGUACCUAACCAGAAAGCCACGGCUAACUACGUGCCAGCCGCCGCCGUAA